rnacentral:lncRNA from 12 species
CCAUAGUUGAUGAGGAACUGACCCUCUUUGGGGCCUCAAUUAGUCUUUCACCCUCCUCUCCUUCCCCCAAAUUUCCAUCAUUGGUGAUAUUUACAUUGGAAUUCUUCCCAGGACUUCAGGAACCCGGCAUGGGUACAAAAAAGAAAAUGAGAACUACUUCUGCCUUCAUUCUACCUCCACCCUCCCAGACACUUGAGGGUCCAGACCCGAGAGACGGGCCCGAGAGCUUUGCUGUUAUCUCACUUGAUUAGUAAGUUGUACCUGUUGUGAUUUGUCCACAGAAACUACUUAAAAUGGUCGAUUUUGUCUGUCUCGUAUACUUUUCAUUGUUAACAGCAAAUAGGUAAAAUUUUAAAAAUGGUUUAUAGGUAAACUUUUAAAAUAGCUUCCAAAAUCUUUGGUAACCUGAAACUUUGAAGUUGUGGUGGGUUAAUUGAUAAAUUGGGUUAAAUUCAUCAGAUAUCUAUGUCUUUUCCACAUAAAGUAAAAUACUAAAGCAUGAGUUACUAAAACACCCAAGGUGUUUUAUUUUUUUUUCUUACUUUCC